AUCGCUUCUUGGCCUUUUGGCUAAGAUCAAGUGUAAAGUCGAAGAGUUUCCAGUACAUAUUUUGCCGUCAACCAUAGUAGAUCCAUUUUCCCAGAUACAAUGUUGGGAACUUUAUACUUUCAUUUUAUUCUCCAUGAUAUAUUUUGAAGCUUUCUUCAUUUUGUUAUUUGGAUGAUCGCUUUUCAUUCUACCCCU
ensembl:snRNA U2 U2 spliceosomal RNA